GACCCAAUGGUGAAAUGUAUCACAUCCGCUGUGAAUAGGUGAGUUGCUCAUGUGUAAUUCUGGCGGAAGUCACCCGUUCGAUUCGGGUUUGGGUCG